CAUGAAGUGUCCUUGAUUGACCUCCUACUUCUUGUCUCCUAGAUUGAUUUUUAUUGUUUUUUCUUUCCCUCCCAUGACUUCCUCUAAUGAUGUGUCUUGGUUUCUCUCCAGGCUAAAGUCCAAGUGCACCUGGCCUAAUGGGUUGAAGCUCAAAGGUUGUGUAUUUCAGGGCAUCUGCAUUGUGCAGACUUUGGGGAAUAUUCAUGGUAGACUUAAAAAGGUGGUUGAGCUGUUCCUUAGCAGCAGGAUAUUUUGUGAAUGCCAUGGCUCAUUAUAUCAGGGAGGACCUGGAGGAAGUUGCAAGGAGAAUGAGUCAGAUGAAGUGACUUCAAUGUUUCUAGCCAUAGACCACAAGAAAAAAGAAUAUUCUCUAUUUUUAGGAAAUCACCUGAGUUGAUGGUAUCCAUUUGGGUAGAAAUUGCUAUGGAAGAAGCACAAGGUCAAAAAGAGGUAAAAUGGACUGCCUUGAGAAACUGUGGAUUUCCCUUCCUUCAAGACAAGUGA
rnacentral:lncRNA from 1 species